GCAAAUCAACAAACUUUUAGACCUCGCCAAUUCCGCCAGCCAUUUCUUCGCCGGCUUUUUCCCCCUCAACAUCUCCGGUGAUGUCACGUUAUCUAUCAAAUAGGGGAGGAACUCAAGUACAAAAGGUUCGUUUCGAUGAAGAAGCGAUUCCCGACGAGGACGAAGUAGGUGGGACUUUGAAAUUGAGGCCCUCCGAUAGCAACAUCACCGAAGAUCAAGAGCCUUUUAUGGGAGUUAAAGUCCGUAGAAAAGCUUCUAUUCAUAGGGAUUAUCUCGGUGAUUAUGUCGAUGUGCCUUCUCGACCUUAUCUCAUGAAGAUUCUCGAAAAACAAGGUGACAAAAAGGUUCUGUUUGCAGACACAGUUCUGAAGUUUACAAGCACAGGGAAGAUGAAGCGGCGCAUUCUCCUUGUAACUGAUUUCGCCAUUUACAUUGUAGACCCAGAAAGUGGUGCACUUAAACGGCGGAUUGCCCUGGCAGCUGUUGAGAAGCUGUGUCUGAGUGAAUUAAGUGAUAAUUUUCUUGCAAUUAUCAUUCCGACUGAGUACGAUCUGUUCAUGGCCACUACUCGGAAAACAGAAAUAGUAACAAUCUUAGUAGAUGCUACCAAGAGUCAAUCUGACUAUGAACUCGAUGUUCUCUUCUCUAAUAGAUUUGAGUACAGUGCAACUUCUGAGCUUGUUAAAGAAGUUCAAUUUGAGCAAGUUGAAGCGGGUGUCAAAACAAAAAUCUCACGCAAAUGAACUACCCUUAGCGUGUAAUGGUCUAAGAACGCAAACUGCUCACUACCAUGCCUGCAAACGUGUCUUGCUAGUUGAAAGGGGAACCGUUUUGCACUUCAUCAUACAAAUAAACGGUGUGUCAUUCCAUGUAGAAAUGUGAUCAAUAUUUACUUAUCAAAGAACAGAAAAGGAAAAAAGCGACAGAAUGUAUUAUGAUGAGCUUGUUUCUUCACUUUAGCUCUAUGCCUGUCUAUGUUUUCUUAGCUUGUUGCUCUCCUCAUCUGGCUGCGUUGUGUAAUAUCGUACAUUAUCCUAUUUAUAAAAUUGAGAUUGUUUGGUGCCAAGUUUCUACACCUAAGGGUAGAUUGACUUUAACCAUUGUGGAUUUUG
rnacentral:misc_RNA from 1 species